CCCCGUGGCUCAGUUGGUAGAGCAUGGUGUUUGCAACGCCAGCAUGGUGUGUGCAACGCCAGGGUUGUGGGUUCGAUUCCCACGGGGG
rnacentral:tRNA from 1 species